GGACCACCUCCCAGAGAUGGGGAGGUGAGUAAGUGUGAAAUGGAUUCAGUUGUACACAGGAAUAUGCUCAAGCCCAAUUUGUCAGGAUAACAUUUCUGACUUCCAAGGGCAAUGUUCGCCAAAUCCUGGCAAAAUGCUUGCUGACGAUGCAUUUCUUCUUGGGAAAUGAAUUGGAGCUCUCUAAACCAGAGCAAUGCCUGCCUGAAUGCUUUUAUGACUUUGAUAGUUGCAUGUGGAUACAUUGAUGUUUCUUAUGAAAAGGACUCCAGGACCACACCCUGAGCCGAAGGCAGACGUUUAACUGCUGAGCCACCCAGGCAUCCUGAGAAAGAAAUAUUUAACUGAAUGGACAUUUAAC
rnacentral:lncRNA from 1 species